UAGGGAAUCUUCGGCAAUGGACGAAAGUCUGACCGAGCAACGCCGCGUGAGUGAAGAAGGUUUUCGGAUCGUAAAACUCUGUUGUUAGAGAAGAACAAGGACGUUAGUAACUGAACGUCCCCUGACGGUAUCUAACCAGAAAGCCACGGCUAACUACGUGCCAGCAGCCGCGGUAAUACGUAGGUGGCAAGCGUUGUCCGGAUUUAUUGGGCGUAAAGCGAGCGCAGGCGGUUUCUUAAGUCUGAUGUGAAAGCCCCCGGCUCAACCGGGGAGGGUCAUUGGAAACUGGGAAGCUUGAGUGCAGAAGAGGAGAGUGGAAUUCCAUGUGUAGCGGUGAAAUGCGUAGAUAUAUGGAGGAACACCGGUGGCGAAGGCGGCUCUCUGGUCUGUAACUGACGCUGAGGCUCGAAAGCGUGGGGAGCAAACAGG
rnacentral:rRNA from 1 species